CACCCAAGACCUACCGCAAGAGAAUAGCCUUGGUAACGUAUUCAUCUUUGUUAGUUCCAUAGAUUAUAUUAUUAUUAUAUGAUUCAAAUAUGAAUAAUUGGUAAUCUUAUUCAAGCAGUGCCAAGAACCAUGGUUUCAAGGGCAUGUCAUCCUGAACAGGCAAUUUCUUUUUCUGAUUUUGAAGCCAAAUGACAUGCACCUUGUUUCAUAAGCAUCAGGAUUACAGCGGAAAGAAUAAGGAAAACGAUGGGUCCCUUUCCUCCCUUUCCACAAGGCCUUACAUCUGAUUUAAGAAUUCAAGUGUUUUUCCCAAGGAUCCACAGACAUUAAGAAACAGAGGCAAAUUGUGAAAUGCCUUUACGGUCAAGGUAGCAAGUGGGAAGCAAAUGAGUCACAGAACAGAAUGGGCAGACCGCUCUUCAGGGGAUGGAUGCAGGAGAGCCACGAGAGACGGAAGAGAGGAGGGCUGGAUGAAGCCCUGGCGACCACUAGGUGGAGGUCACACCUUUAAUGCAAUAUCAACCCUGUUUUGUAAACGAGCAGACUGA
rnacentral:lncRNA from 1 species